GAUGAAUACGCAAUUUCUACUCAUUUUCUUUGUUCUUAGCUUUCUCAUCAUGUGUGAGUUAAUUAGUCUAUUAAUCCCCUAAGGAUUUGAACUUGUGUGUUUGUGUGUGUGUGUAUAUAUAUAUAUAUAUAUAUAUAUCCGGUNUUUGAUAAAAUUUAUUUAAAUUACAAUCUAAAAUAAAAUAUAUUCUGAAAAAGAUUUACAAAAUUGUUAUAUCACCGUAUAAUUCUAUAUUUUCUAUAAAAUUUAAAAAUUAUAGCCGAUCAAUCUUUUAAAUCUUAGUUUUCGGAAAAUCUCCGUUUAAGUGUUAUAUUUCCUCUGACACGUUCGUGUAUGCAGCUAUUGAUGGGAGCAACAAUGGCAAAAAAAAAAUCGAAAUUGCAAUGAUGAAAACCAAAUCAAGUAAAGUAAGUCCACCACCAUCUAUUCUAGAUUCUGAUGACACAUUUCAUGAUAACAAGUUGAGGGGUUUUUGUAUGCCAAGUCCGUCAACAAGAUGCCAUGGAACAAGAAAAAGUUGUUACUGUUGUAUUGGGCCACAAGAAGUAAUAUGCAUAGAAGGCUAUGAG
rnacentral:lncRNA from 1 species